AUGGGCACCAGCCUCCUCUGCUGGAUGGCCCUGUGUCUCCUGGGGGCAGAUCACGCAGAUACUGGAGUCUCCCAGAACCCCAGACACAAGAUCACAAAGAGGGGACAGAAUGUAACUUUCAGGUGUGAUCCAAUUUCUGAACACAACCGCCUUUAUUGGUACCGACAGACCCUGGGGCAGGGCCCAGAGUUUCUGACUUACUUCCAGAAUGAAGCUCAACUAGAAAAAUCAAGGCUGCUCAGUGAUCGGUUCUCUGCAGAGAGGCCUAAGGGAUCUUUCUCCACCUUGGAGAUCCAGCGCACAGAGCAGGGGGACUCGGCCAUGUAUCUCUGUGCCAGCAGCUUAGC